GCCGGAGUGGUGAAAUGGUAGACACAGCAGACUCAAAAUCUGCCGAGCGCAAGCUCAUGUUGGUUCGAGUCCGACCUUCGGUACCA
rnacentral:tRNA from 1 species